AUUGAACGCUGGCGGCAUGCCUUACACAUGCAAGUCGAACGGUAACAGGUCUUCGGAUGCUGACGAGUGGCGAACGGGUGAGUAAUACAUCGGAACGUGCCUAGUAGUGGGGGAUAACUACUCGAAAGAGUGGCUAAUACCGCAUGAGAUCUACGGAUGAAAGCAGGGGAUCGCAAGACCUUGUGCUACUAGAGCGGCCGAUGGCAGAUUAGGUAGUUGGUGGGAUAAAAGCUUACCAAGCCGACGAUCUGUAGCUGGUCUGAGAGGACGAUCAGCCACACUGGGACUGAGACACGGCCCAGACUCCUACGGGAGGCAGCAGUGGGGAAUUUUGGACAAUGGGCGCAAGCCUGAUCCAGCAAAGCCGCGUGCAGGAUGAAGGCCUUUGGGUUGUAAACUGCUUUUGUACGGAACGAAAAGCCCCGGGUUAAUACCCUGGGGUCAUGACGGUACCGUAAGAAUAAGCACCGGCUAACUACGUGCCAGCCGCCGCGGUAA
rnacentral:rRNA from 1 species